UUGCCCUGCUGUUGGAAAUGGAACACAAUGGUUGCUUAACAGAUGCUGUGACUUUUGAAACUGUUAUUCGUGCUUUGUUUGAAAAAGAUGAGAAUGACAUGGCAGAGAAACUUCUUCGGGAAAUGGUUGCUAGAGGCUUAUUGAAUUGAUAAAAAAAAGGUUUUCGUUAUGCAAUCUGCAAUGGAGUUCUUUUCAGGUUCUACCAUUUGUAGGCACAGGUGCACGCAAGCAUGUUAAGUUGCAGCAUGGCAAAGACAAUAUUGAAGUUCUCUAGUAUGAAUUUUCCUUUAUACUUGGAUUUCAGUUUGUCC